rnacentral:rRNA from 1 species
GCUCAAAUUUGAAAUCUUAAAGGGUUUCCCUUUACGAAUUGUAGUCUAAAGAAGUGUUUUCUGUUGAGGUUUUGGUAAAAGUUCUUUGGAAUAGGACAUCAUAGAGGGUGAGAAUCCCGUAUUUGACCUUUACUUUCAACUUUGUGAUACACUUUCAAAGAGUCGGAUUGUUUGGGAAUGCAGUCCAAAAUGGGUGGUAAAUUUCAUCUAAAGCUAAAUAUUGGCGAGAGACCGAUAGCGAACAAGUACCGUGAGGGAAAGAUGAAAAGAACUUUGAAAAGAGAGUUAAACAGUACGUGAAAUUGUCAAAAGGGAAGCGUUUGACACCAGUGUUGUUUUUCUGAAAAUCAAUUAAAGAACUGUUUAUGCUAAGCUGUUUAGACUUUAUCAGCUAUCUGUUUAGUUUUGAGCUUUUCUUUAAUGCACUUUUCAGUUAACAAG